UACGCCCGGUCCCUUUCCGAACCCGGAAGCUAAGCCCGAUUGCGCUGAUGGUACUGCACCUGGGAGGGUGUGGGAGAGUAGGUCGCCGCCAACC
rnacentral:rRNA from 1 species